rnacentral:rRNA from 1 species
GAUGAACGCUGGCGGCGUGCUUAACACAUGCAAGUCGAGCGAUCAGACGAUGAGCUUUCUCCUGUGACGUUUGCGUCGGACGGGGGAGUAUCACGUGUGUAUCCUACCUCUCAUACUGGUGUAACACCGCGAGACCGUGUCGAUUACCGGAUAAUAUUUCGAACUGCCGGGUUCUAUAUUUAAAGAUGGCUGUGCCUUCACUUAUAGAUGGACCGGGGUCGUAUUAGCUAGUUUGUAAGGUAUCGGGUUACCAAGGCAAGGAUACGUAGCCGACCUGAGAGGGUGAUCGGCCACACGGGAACUGAGACACGUUCCCGACUCCUACGGGAGGCAGCAGUAGGGAAUCUUACGCAAUGGGCGAAGGCCUGACGGAGCAACGCCGCGUGAGUGAUGAAGGUCUUCGGAUCGGAAAGCUCUGUUAUUAGGGAAGAACAAACGUGUAAGUAACUGUGCACGUCUUGACGGUACCUAAUCAGAAAGCCACGGCUAACUACGUG